UACAGAGGUCUCAAGCGUUGUUCGGAAUCACUGGGCGUAAAGGGUGCGUAGGUGGCGUGGCAAGUCAGAUGUGAAAGCCCGGAGCUCAACUUCGGAACUGCAUCCGAUACUGCCAUGCUAGAGCACUGAAGAGGUGACCGGAAUUCUCGGUGUAGCAGUGAAAUGCGUAGAUAUCGAGAGGAACACCAAAGGCGAAGGCAGGUCACUGGGCAGUUGCUGACACUGAGGCACGAAGGCCAGGGUAGCGAAC
rnacentral:rRNA from 1 species